AACAGAUACUUUUCUCUUUUUUCUUGCAUUUUUGUUAUUUUCUUCUCCUAAAUCUCAGAAUUUUUAUGUAGAUCUCCAUCUUCCUCUCUCUGAACCAAUGUCUGUCAUGCUCUCAAGGAAAUAACUCUCUCCCUGCACCCCGUUGUCACAUGCAAAGGCAUAAGUGCAAAAGAGAAAAAUAAAUAUUUUCAGAAGCCACAAGCAUUCUGGCCAAUAAUCUUUUAUACUGUCUUUGAAGGUUGGAAUGCAAAAUCCUGUAUUUGAGGUAAUAUCAUGAUUUGUCUACCUGCAAGACAUUAAUUCAAAGAACACAGUUAUCUAUCUUUUUGUUAUAAACUAGAUACUUACUGAAUAUGUACCCUGUAUGUUUAUUACAACACUUACUAGGUCUCUUGGCCAACACUUGACCUUCAGCAUCAUCUAUCUUGUAUUCAUACAGCAAAAGAGACCCACUAUCAAUAAAAUAUGCACUUUCCUUCCAGAAUGAAAUGCCUUCAACAGGUACUUCACUAUUCUAUGAAGAUGUUAACAGCAUCAAUUUCCAGAAGUCCCCUAAUACAUGGGGACCAUCAGAUCUGCAUUGUGGUAUCAUUUUGUUCCUCCCUCUCUGUGUCCCUUCCCCCAUGUGUGGUCUUAGGAAUUUACUCUGGACAUUCCAGAAAUGGACUGCAUUGCUGCAGGCAAAAAUCCAUCUCCUGAAAUAUGCAAAAUACACAUGCUCUUACAUGACCAUACACAGCACAUAUAUAAAUCAGUAAUGUUUUCCCCACUACUUCAACUGCUCCAUUAAAAAAAAAAAAAAAAAAAAAGUAAUUAAGGCCUGCUGUAUUUUCACAGAAGUAGAGAAAAAUAUUUUUUUCUAUUAAUAUGUUGAAUUACACAACCAGCUUUAAUGAAAAUUAAGUAUGGAAGAGAGGACUGUAAUGAUUUGGUACUGAACAGGAAAAAGAAAAAAAAAACCACCCUGAAGGAUUCUGGCUUCCUAAUGCACAAAUUGUUGUACGUCACCCUCCAGUCACUCUUAUUGAGCCACAAGGACACCGUCUCGUUGUGGGAGGGAAGGUAUGAAUUGUUACCUUUGUAUGAGGUGGUCCAGUGCUGCCUCUAUCAAGAUUAAGUAGGUCAAAUAUAAGAGCCCAAGCACACACUGUGUUUUGCAGUAGGAGUUUGGAGUUUAACAGACAAGCAACCAUCCAGGCAGCAGCAGGGAUCACAUUGUAUAUCAGACAAUAUUUUUCUGAGACACUCUGCUUCCAAAUAAGAGCAAAGUAUCUUUAACAUGUCUAGAGGGAAAAUGGUGCUUUCACUGUGUUUUUUUCAUAUGGUAAAGGUUCUGUAGGCACUCUUUACACAUCAUCACAAGAAUUCUACUGUCUGGGCAUUUUUACAGGCUUGUUGUAGUAUUCCAUACAUUGUUACUUCCUUUCUAAAAGGAGCCUAAAAUGUAAAAAUACAGCCCUAAAGAGUUAAAUCAAUUGAAGCUAUUCUAAACUUGCCACAUUAGUCUAGGGGAAGUUUCAGGGGGUUGUCAAUUUUAAUUAGAAAUGGCAAAUGAUUGUGCACAAUGCAGCAGAUUAUCAGGGCUACUUGUUAAAUUAUAAAAGGCUGGCUAAGCUUCAGAGUGAAGCUAGUGUCCAAAUUAGAAAAUCUGAUAGUUUAUAGUUUAUGCUCACAAAAAUAAUUGCUUUUUCCUCCUUCCUUUAGCAGAUUGUGUUCUUUGAGGGGGGAAAAAAAAAAAGAAAAAGCUUAUAGAUCUCCAGCUAAUUUCUGUGAAUUAAACCUGUGUUCACAAUAAUAAAACCAAGUAAAAUGCCAUGCCCUUUUAUAAGCCUUAUCUUUUUCUAGCAUUUCUAUUUUUUUAUAUUAAAUCCAUAAUAACCCUUUGCAUUUUUUCACUUCAGAAGACCAUUUAUUGUGAAUUCUGAAAACAUGUUGAACUAAAAAAGAAAAAUAAAAAAAAAAUGUCUGAGAAGAGGUGCUAUGCAUAGAUAGAAAGAGAAGGAGGAGUAGCACACCACAUACCUUUUCUAUUAGGACUGUCUGACACAAAAGACAGCUGCUGCUGCAGCACUGAGGCAGAAGCCAUGUCUUCCUCUACCAGUGUGGCCUGAGGAAAACUGACCUGGAACUGGACAUGCACAAAAUUGAAACUUGGGCUUCUGCGUCCUCCCCCAUCAUCCUUGGAUGAUGCGCAGUGUUGUUUAGACUUGACUUGUGGGACAAUUCUGAUGUCAUGCCCAAGGUAAUGUGCUGGUUUUCUUUCCUGUACACCUAACUCUGGAGAAAAUACGAAGUCUUCUUGAAAGUUAAUCUUCAAGCAUUAGCUUAUGUUCAAACACAGUUAAGAAAACACUGGGUAGGAAGCUUGAAAACUAAAUUUUGAAGCAAAGCAAAAUAGAUUUCAGGAAAAUCUAUCAGAAAUAUACAAUCUGAAGUUUGACUAGAAGUAGUUCCUAAGGUGUUGUAAGCAGAUCUAACUACCCUAAAUCUUGGAUUCAUUAACAAAUUUUUUGUUGCCUAUGAAACAAAGGUUUUCCAAGUUGCAUGAUUGCAUGUAACCUCAAGCUCAAUAGACAGUGCGCUAUUGAAAAAAAAAAAAAAAAAAGAAGUGGAAGAAGUUUAAAUCCUGCACUCUGAAGAGACAAGCAAACCAAUGACAGUGUGAUUCUGAAAAAAAAAAUCUCAAGGAUAAAGUGGGAAUAGAAGUGAAAAUCCAAUUUCUGUGUAUCAAGUCCAGCCUCUACUGAUUAUUUGAGUUGCAUUGGCACCUGAGAGAAAAAAUAAGACAACUUGAAAAUGUACCAACCAUACAUCUUCCCUCUCUACAGUGAUGUAGUCCUCUUCUAUCUGUCACAUGAUCAACAACCAGAUGCUUUGCUGAGGUCAAAUGAUUCCCAGUACACGUCAAAGGGGUCAGAGAAAGACAAUUAUCUUGUACUGACAAGAAACUAUACUGAAGAGGCCUUGCUCUGAAGGAAUAAAGAAUAUCUGCAUUGUGCACACAUUCUUGUGCUGAAUAUUUACAUUUGCCUACAAGAGUUUAGACUCCAGUAAAUAAGGAUUAUGCGGUGGAUCUGCCCUUACAAAGUUCUCUCCACUGAUUCAUUUGGAGACAAGUUUUGAAGGUAUAUCAGCAGUCUGCUGUCUGAGGAUUCUCUUUACCACAGCAAGAGAAGAAAUAAUGCUGCAGGAUCUUAAUCACUUCUCUUAAAUGCAUUGUGAGAGAAAUAGAACAAGAACAGAAAAUGUAUCCAGCUGUCUUCUCUCUGUUCUUUUUUUCCUAAUUUGUGCUUGUUAUCCAAAGAAAAAAAAUGUCUAAGCUUUGACUGUACUUUAAAAAUUCCCAAACAAGUAGUUCUAUAUAAAACAUAGUCUCAGUGACAGAAGAAUUCUGAUGCAGUUGCCAGAGAAAAGAAUUCCAUUAUUAAAAUUUUGGGCCUUUUUAAAACCUGUGAUACCGAUAAAAGACUUUGUUGAUAUUCAAUACAUUUUAUUUUGAGAAUUUACACAAAGACAUCAGUGAUUUUUCUCAAAAUUUCCAAUAAAAAAUAUAAGGCAAUCAUUUCCCUGUGGUCCAAUACCCUGAUGAAUCACACAAGAGAAAAAAGUGACUAGACAUAAAAAAUUAUGGAGCGUGAUAGCAGCAGACAAGUUGGGUUAGAAAAAAAGCAAAUAAGCUGAAGACAUGCUAAUUCAUAAUGAUAUGUGGAUGUAUUAAUGUAAGAAUGAACUACUAUACACAUAUGCACAUGGGGUCAAACUGAGAAAAGCAAAUCUUGCAACUGAGCAAGCGAUAAAGAUAGGUAUAGAUAAGGCACAGAUAGGAUAGAAAUAGAUGGGUUGAAUAAAGAAUGCAACUUUUAGCAAAAAAUAACACUGAAAUGUUUCCAUGAAAUUAUAUUUUUAUCCUUGCAUAGUUUUUCCCCCUCCAUGUCAAAUAAAAUAUAUAUGGAAAUGUAGUUAUGAUAUAUAGUUAAAAGAACAGCUACUAAAAAUAAGGAUGCUUUUAAGUAUACUGUUGGGAGGUGACUUGAUGAAUGUAUGUUUUCCAAGUAAAAAGGAUAAAUUAAUACCACAGAACCAACUUAACAGAUAUAUGUUUUUAACAUCAAA